rnacentral:rRNA from 1 species
AACGAACGCUGGCGGCAUGCCUAACACAUGCAAGUCGAACGAGACCUUCGGGUCUAGUGGCGCAAGGGUGCGUAACGCGUGGGAACCUGCCCUUAGGUUCGGAAUAACUCCCCGAAAGGGGUGCUAAUACCGGAUAAUGUCUUCGGACCAAAGAUUUAUCGCCUUUGGAUGGGCCCGCGUUGGAUUAGCUAGUUGGUAGGGUAAAAGCCUACCAAGGCGACGAUCCAUAGCUGGGCUGAGCGGAUGAUCAGCCACACUGGGACUGAGACACGGCCCAGACUCCUACGGGAGGCAGCAGUGGGGAAUAUUGGACAAUGGGCGAAAGCCUGAUCCAGCAAUGCCGCGUGAGUGAUGAAGGCCGUAGGGUUGUAAAGCUCUUUUACCCGGGAUGAUAAUGACAGUACCGGGAGAAUAAGCUCCGGCUAACUCCGUG